rnacentral:rRNA from 1 species
CCAAAUGUUGACAUGAGUAACGAUAAAGGGAGUGAGAGACUCCCUCGCCGAAAGACCAAGGGUUCCUGCUUAAAGUUAAUCUGAGCAGGGUUAGCCGGCCCCUAAGGUGAGGCAGAAAUGCGUAGCCGAUGGGAACCACGUUAAUAUUCGUGGGCCUGGUGGUAGUGACGGAUUGCGUAACUUGUUCAGUCUUAUUGGAUUGAUUGGGCAGGGAAGCGGUUCCAGGAAAUAGCUCCACCGUAUAGACCGUACCCGAAACCGACACAGGUGGUCAGGUAGAGUAUACCAAGGCGCUUGAGAGAACUAUGUUGAAGGAACUCGGCAAAUUGCACGCGUAACUUCGGAAGAAGCGUGACCCCAUAGCACGCAAGUGUUGUGGGGUGGCACAGACCAGGGGGUAGCGACUGUUUAUCAAAAACACAGGGCUCUGCGAAGCCGCAAGGCGACGUAUAGGGUCUGACGCCUGCCCGGUGCUGGAAGGUUAAGAGGAGAGGUGCAAGCUUUGAAUCGAAGCCCCAGUAAACGGCGGCCGUAACAAUAACGGUCCUAAGGUAGCGAAAUUCCUUGUCGGGUAAGUUCCGACCUGCGCGAAUGGCGUAACGACUUCCCCGCCGUCUCCAACAUAGACUCAGUGAAAUUGAAUUCCCCGUGAAGAUGCGGGGUUCCUGCAGUCAGACGGAAAGACCCCGUGCACCUUUACUAUAGCUUUACACUGGCAUUCGCCAAGGCAUGUGUAGGAUAGGUGGUAGGCUUUGAAGCUUGGACGCUAGUUCGAGUGGAGCCAUCCUUGAAAUACCACCCUUAUCUUCGUGGAUGUCUAACCGCGAUCCGUCAUCCGGGUCCGGGACAGUGUAUGGUGGGUAGUUUGACUGGGGCGGUCGCCUCCGAAAGAGUAACGGAGGCGCGCGAUGGUGGGCUCAGACCGGUCGGAAAUCGGUCGUCGAGUGCAAUGGCAUAAGCCCGCCUGACUGCGAGACUGACAAGUCGAGCAGAGACGAAAGUCGGUCAUAGUGAUCCGGUGGUCCCGCGUGGAAGGGCCAUCGCUCAACGGAUAAAAGGUACGCCGGGGAUAACAGGCUGAUGACCCCCAAGAGUCCAUAUCGACGGGGUUGUUUGGCACCUCGAUGUCGACUCAUCGCAUCCUGGGGCUGGAGCAGGUCCCAAGGGUAUGGCUGUUCGCCAUUUAAAGCGGUACGUGAGUUGGGUUCAGAACGUCGUGAGACAGUUCGGUCCCUAUCUGCCGUGGGUGUAGGAAUAUUGACAGGAUCUGUCCCUAGUACGAGAGGACCGGGAUGGACGUAUCUCUGGUGGAUCUGUUGUCCUGCCAAGGGCAUAGCAGAGUAGCUAUAUACGGAAUGGAUAACCGCUGAAGGCAUCUAAGCGGGAAACCAACCUGAAAACGAGUGUUCCCUGAGAGCCGUGGAAGACGACCACGUUGAUAGGACGGGUGUGGAAGCAAGGCAACUUGUGAAGCUUACCGUUACUAAUAGCCC